rnacentral:rRNA from 1 species
CUACGGGACGCUCCAGUGGGGAAUAUUGCACAACGGAGGAAACUCUGAUGCAGCAACGCCGCGUGGAGGAUGACACUUUUCGGAGCGUAAACUCCUUUUAUAUAGGAAGAAGAUGACGGUACUAUAUGAAUAAGCGCCGGCUAACUCCGUGCCAGCAGCCGCGGUAAUACGGAGGGCGCAAGCGUUACUCGGAAUCACUGGGCGUAAAGAGCGUGUAGGCGGAUUAAAAAGUCAGAAGUGAAAUCCUAUAGCUUAACUAUAGAACUGCUUCUGAAACUCUUAAUCUAGAAUAUGGGAGAGGUAGAUGGAAUUUCUGGUGUAGGGGUAAAAUCCGUAGAGAUCAGAAGGAAUACCGAUUGCGAAGGCGAUCUACUAGAACAUUAUUGACGCUGAGACGCGAAAGCGUGGGGAGCAAACAGGAUUAGAUACCCGAGUAGUC